rnacentral:rRNA from 1 species
UGGGGAAUAUUGCGCAAUGGAGGAAACUCUGACGCAGCAACGCCGCGUGAAGGAUGAAGGCCCUCGGGUUGUAAACUUUUGUCUUUGGGGAAGAAAAAAAUGACGGUACCCAAGGAGGAAGCUCCGGCUAACUACGUGCCAGCAGCCGCGGUAAUACGUAGGGAGCAAGCGUUGUCCGGAAUUACUGGGUGUAAAGGGUGCGUAGGCGGGAUAUAAAGUCAGGUGUGAAAUACCGCAGCUUAACUGCGGGGCUGCACUUGAAACUUAUAUUCUUGAGUGAAGUAGAGGUAAGUGGAAUUCCCAGUGUAGCGGUGAAAUGCGUAGAUAUUGGGAGGAACACCAGUGGCGAAGGCGACUUACUGGGCUUUAACUGACGCUGAGGCACGAAAGCAUGGGGAGCAAACA